rnacentral:rRNA from 2 species
UUGGCCGGGCGACGGUUGUCCCGGUUUAAGCGUGUAGGUGUGUGUUCCAGGUAAAUCCGGUUCACUUUAACACUGAGGCGUGACGACGAGGCACUACGGUGCUGAAGCAACAAAUGCCCUGCUUCCAGGAAAAGCCUCUAAGCAUCAGGUAACAUCAAAUCGUACCCCAAACCGACACAGGUGGUCAGGUAGAGAAUACCAAGGCGCUUGAGAGAACUCGGGUGAAGGAACUAGGCAAAAUGGUGCCGUAACUUCGGGAGAAGGCACGCUGACACGUAGGUGAAGUGAUUUACUCAUGGAGCUGAAGUCAGUCGAAGAUACCAGCUGGCUGCAACUGUUUAUUAAAAACACAGCACUGUGCAAACACGAAAGUGGACGUAUACGGUGUGACGCCUGCCCGGUGCCGGAAGGUUAAUUGAUGGGGUCAGCGCAAGCGAAGCUCCUGAUCGAAGCCCCGGUAAACGGCGGCCGUAACUAUAACGGUCCUAAGGUAGCGAAAUUCCUUGUCGGGUAAGUUCCGACCUGCACGAAUGGCGUAAUGAUGGCCAGGCUGUCUCCACCCGAGACUCAGUGAAAUUGAACUCGCUGUGAAGAUGCAGUGUACCCGCGGCAAGACGGAAAGACCCCGUGAACCUUUACUAUAGCUUGACACUGAACAUUGAGCCUUGAUGUGUAGGAUAGGUGGGAGGCUUUGAAGUGUGGACGCCAGUCUGCAUGGAGCCGACCUUGAAAUACCACCCUUUAAUGUUUGAUGUUCUAACGUGGACCCGUUACCCGGGUUGCGGACAGUGUCUGGUGGGUAGUUUGACUGGGGCGGUCUCCUCCUAAAGAGUAACGGAGGAGCACGAAGGUUGGCUAAUCCUGGUCGGACAUCAGGAGGUUAGUGCAAUGGCAUAAGCCAGCUUGACUGCGAGCGUGACGGCGCGAGCAGGUGCGAAAGCAGGUCAUAGUGAUCCGGUGGUUCUGAAUGGAAGGGCCAUCGCUCAACGGAUAAAAGGUACUCCGGGGAUAACAGGCUGAUACCGCCCAAGAGUUCAUAUCGACGGCGGUGUUUGGCACCUCGAUGUCGGCUCAUCACAUCCUGGGGCUGAAGUAGGUCCCAAGGGUAUGGCUGUUCGCCAUUUAAAGUGGUACGCGAGCUGGGUUUAGAACGUCGUGAGACAGUUCGGUCCCUAUCUGCCGUGGGCGCUGGAGAACUGAGGGGGGCUGCUCCUAGUACGAGAGGACCGGAGUGGACGCAUCACUGGUGUUCGGGUUGUCAUGCCAAUGGCACUGCCCGGUAGCUAAAUGCGGAAGAGAUAAGUGCUGAAAGCAUCUAAGCACGAAACUUGCCCCGAGAUGAGUUCUCCCUGAGACUUUA